UACGUAGGGUGCGAGCGUUAAUCGGAAUUACUGGGCGUAAAGGGUGCGCAGGCGGUUGAUUAAGUCAGAUGUGAAAUACCUGGGCUCAACCUGGGAAUGGCAUUUGAGACUGGUCGGCUAGAGUGUGUCAGAGGGGGGUAGAAUUCCACGUGUAGCAGUGAAAUGCGUAGAGAUGUGGAGGAAUACCGAUGGCAAGGCAGCCCCCUGGGAUAACACUGACGCUCAGGCACGAAAGCGUGGGGAGCAAACAGG
rnacentral:rRNA from 1 species